UACGAAGGGGGCUAGCGUUGCUCGGAAUCACUGGGCGUAAAGGGCGCGUAGGCGGCCGUUCAAGUCGGGGGUGAAAGCCUGUGGCUCAACCACAGAAUGGCCUUCGAUACUGGAUGGCUCGAGACCGGAAGAGGUAAGUGGAACUGCGAGUGUAGAGGUGAAAUUCGUAGAUAUUCGCAAGAACACCAGUGGCGAAGGCGGCUUACUGGUCCGGUUCUGACGCUGAGGCGCGAAAGCGUGGGGAGCAAACAGG
rnacentral:rRNA from 1 species